AGGACGAACGCUGGCGGCGUGCUUAACACAUGCAAGUCGAACGAGAGGAGAAGGAAGCUUGCUUCUUUCAAAUCUAGUGGCAAACGGGUGAGUAACACGUAAACAACCUGCCUUCAGGAUGGGGACAACAGACGGAAACGACUGCUAAUACCGAAUACGUUCCUUAGGUCGCAUGACCCGAGGAAGAAAGGGUGGCCUCUACUUGUAAGCUAUCGCCUGAAGAGGGGUUUGCGUCUGAUUAGGUAGUUGGAGGGGUAACGGCCCACCAAGGCGACGAUCAGUAGCCGGUCUGAGAGGAUGAACGGCCACAUUGGGACUGAGACACGGCCCAGACUCCUACAGGAGGCAGCAGUGGGGAAUCUUCCGCAAUGGACGAAAGUCUGACGGAGCAACGCCGCGUGAACGAUGACGGCCUUCGGGUUGUAAAGUUCUGUUAUACGGGACGAAUGGUACGACGGUCAAUACCCGUCGUAAGUGACGGUACCGUAAGAGAAAGCCACGGCUAACUACGUGCCAGCAGCCGCGGUAAUACGUAGGUGGCAAGCGUUGUCCGGAAUUAUUGGGCGUAAAGGGCGCGCAGGCGGCGUCGUAAGUCGGUCUUAAAAGUGCGGGGCUUAACCCCGUGAGGGGACCGAAACUGCGAUGCUAGAGUAUCGGAGAGGAAAGCGGAAUUCCUAGUGUAGCGGUGAAAUGCGUAGAUAUUAGGAGGAACACCAGUGGCGAAAGCGGCUUUCUGGACGACAACUGACGCUGAGGCGCGAAAGCCAGGGGAGCAAACGGGAUUAGAUACCCCGGUAGUCCUGGCCGUAAACGAUGGAUACUAGGUGUAGGAGGUAUCGACCCCUUCUGUGCCGGAGUUAACGCAAUAAGUAUCCCGCCUGGGGAGUACGGCCGCAAGGCUGAAACUCAAAGGAAUUGACGGAAGGGAGGAUG
rnacentral:rRNA from 1 species